rnacentral:rRNA from 1 species
UACGUAGGGGGCAAGCGUUGUCCGGAUUUAUUGGGCGUAAAGAGCGUGUAGGCGGUUUGUCGCGUCUGCUGUGAAAACUCGGGGCUUAACUCCGGGCCUGCAGUGGGUACGGGCAGACUAGAGUGCGGUAGGGGAGACUGGAAUUCCUGGUGUAGCGGUGAAAUGCGCAGAUAUCAGGAGGAACACCGGUGGCGAAGGCGGGUCUCUGGGCCGUAACUGACGCUGAGGAGCGAAAGCGUGGGGAGCGAACAGG